CGUAGGGGGCGAGCGUUGUCCGGAAUUAUUGGGCGUAAAGAGCGUGUAGGCGGUUCGGUAAGUCUGUCGUGAAAACCUGAGGCUCAACCUCGGGCGUGCGAUGUAUACUGCCGGGCUAGAGGAUGGUAGAGGCGAGUGGAAUUCCCGGUGUAGCGGUGAAAUGCGCAGAUAUCGGGAGGAACACCAGUAGCGAAGGCGGCUCGCUGGGCCACUCCUGACGCUGAGACGCGAAAGCUAGGGGAGCGAACAGGAUUAGAUACCCUGGUAGUCCUAGCCGUAAACGAUGAACACUUGGUGUGGGGGGAGUCGAAUCCCUCUGUGCCGCAGCUAACGCGAUAAGUGUUCCGCCUGGGGAGUACGGCCGCAAGGCUAA
rnacentral:rRNA from 1 species